AGAGUGAAUGGUCUGUGCCCAUUGCUCAGUGAUGUGGCUCAGGCUUCCCCAGCAUGCUGAAUGUCUUUAAGGUCAUCGACUCACUCCUUCCCGGCCUGUGGUGUCAAACGUCCUGCCCCUUUGAACGUGCUUGGAUCGAUGAUGAGUCCCCUAUAAAAACAUUCCUUGGAAAAGCUGAACAAAAUGAGUGAGAACUCAUACCGUCGUUCUCAUCGGAUCUGAGGUCCAGCACGUUGCCUCCCCCGGGGACUGUAGGAGUGAGGGGCAGCUUCCACUGGUUCCCAUAGGUUCCACCACCCAGGGCAUCCGCAGACAAAAGUCUCAUGUCACAGGCACAUUAGGAACAUUCCCUCUGUGUGAGGUACAUGGGUGGGAGAGUCAUGGGGCAUUCGGCCGCUCUGUGAUGGCGUGGUGGCCGUGGAAGCAGGCAGCAAUGUUGCCAGCAUAGGGGAGUGUGCUGCUGGUGAGCUCCCAGAAGGAAGACCCAGACUUCACAGUGGUCAUCUCAGUGCGGAAGACCUGGUGUCUGUUUUCAUGUGGAGGAGAGCCCGAGGCCCAGACCUCAGGCAGACCUUGGUCUUGAUUUUUGAUUAGUUGAGAACAGGGGAGUGCCAAGGUGAUAGGGGAGAGUGCAGAGCAGUGUCUUGGCAGACAGUGAAAGCCUCUUCAGCCCACCCUGCAGCAUCGGUCACAGGAGCCCCCCUGGAAGGGAUUUCUUUGCCUCCUGAGCUGUGAGAUGCCUGUGGUGCAAUGGUGGAGUCUUGAGCAGGAAGGUACUCCAGAGAAAGGUGAUAGAGGGCUCACAGGGACACGAGUGUCAUUAGCAGACUUGGGCUGUCUUUUGGCGGUGAUGGACUUUCCAUGGAUUUUUCUGGUGGAUGACAGGUUGGCUGGCAGAGGUCUUUGAGGCCAGAUCAUAGGGAGCAUGAAGAUUAAGUUGGUGUCUGUGGCCCUGGAUCACUUCCAGCCUUCCCAGGAGAGUAAUGGGCUCCUCUGUUGUACAAAUCUCCCUAUAAAUUGUCUCUUGGCCCGCCAUCGUUGGGCAGCUCCACCUGCUGCAGCUCAUGUGAGCAAAUACUGCUCUGGAUCCUCUUUCCUGCUUGUAAAGCAGCUUCCGUCCUGAAGGUCCGGAGUGAAUAUGCCCUGCCCUGCCUCUGGCCCAAGUCUCUGCCGUGGGCACUGGUCACACUUGGGGCUAUCCAAGGAGGUCUGUGCAUUCCAUGCAACGCGUGUGCAAUCCCAGGGGUGCUGCCACAGAGUCCUUUGACUUGGGAUGCCUUGCACCUCUGCAUGUUGGCAAUAUUUAAGUGUUGGACUCCACUACACCCUAGGGGUCAUGAACUGUUUUGGCUCCUUUAACUGGUUUGAAGUCUCAGUGCAGCCAGGACAGCCAUGCCAUGUUGAAGGGCAUGCGGAUGACUUAGGAAUGUUGGAAAGGAUGGGUGGUUCUGAGCUCGCAGCUCACUCACUAGCUGCCUGCAUGUAGACCCAGUGGUGGUGCUCAGGCAGUGUUGACUUUCAGGCAUUGCGGCAGGCAGUAGUGCAGUCAAGUUGGUGGCAUGAUAGGAUGUUGCCUCAGAGGUCAGUACAGGGUAGCCCUGUGCGUGUGUCCGAUGCAAGGAAAAUGAAAGACAGUGUGUCCUGUCUGCCUGGUCCUUGGGACAUCGGUUGGGGGACGUCCUGUUGGAAAAGCAGCCAUUCCCUUUGUAUGUCCAUAGGGCAUGGUGCAGGCACAUGGACUGAGUGGAGGGAGGAAGCCCGUGUCUUGAGGUCCUUUGGCUAGGUUGGGAAGACCACCUCUGACCUUGACGCCGAGUUUCAGACCGAUGUGCUGGCCAUUGCAAAGUCGCCCUCCAGCGCAGGUUGUGAUUGGUUUUCCACCAUGUAUGCCUCACCUGAGAGGGCUGCUAGAGACAGUGUCUGCUCAGGACAUCAGAUGUCCCGUGAGGAGGAGCAUGUAUUCACACCAGGGGAGGUGGCUGGUAGGCGAGCCACCUCAGGCCUAUAUGUCCGCAUGACUUCCAUGUCAAAAUUUACAUCCUACUGAUUGAAGUCCUUCAGCUGUCGGGUUGGUGGGUUGUCAGGCCAGGAGGCUGCAGACUAUGACUGCCUAUUGCUGUGUUGGGAAACACAUGUGUCAGGAACACAUGUGGUGAGGGAGACACACACACAUACAUUCAUAUACACACAUACAUUCAUAUACACACACACACACGCACACAGGCAUGCCGAACCACAGGCAAAUACACGUAGCAAUGGGCGUGUGUGACCACACAUGCUUUUAGUUAUCCACAGAGUAACACGUGUAAAGUAUCGUGGAAGCCAGGGGAAUAACAGAGGCAAUUGCUGUGGGAGGCGUGGUGUAACUGCUGGAAGGAAGACACUCCAUUCCUCUGAGCAAUGAAGGCCACAUGGAGUCCUGGAUUUUAUGUGGUCCUGGCAUCCAUGAUGCACCACGUGCUGGCAGGUGACUCAGGACGGGGCAGUUAUCAUGGGACAUCCGCCGUAUGCUGGCAAUGAACAUGGUCAGUUCUUCUCAGCCACAAAGGCCCCCAAAGUCCUGGAGCUGGUGUGGCUUAGCAUCCACGGUGCGCCCCCUGCUGGUGGAUGGCUCAGGACGGGGCAGUUGCCAUGGGAGGCCCGCCACCUGCUGGAAGGAAGAUGGUCAAUUCUUUUGAGCCACAAAGGCCCUGCAGAGUCCUGGAGUCAGUGUGGCCUGGCUUCCUGGGUGCACCUUGUGCUGGUGGAUUGCUCAGGACGGGACAGUUGCCGUGGGAGGUCCGCUGCCUGCUGUCAGGGAAGAUGGUCGAUGCUUCUGAGCAACAUAGGCCCACGUGGAUUCCGUGUGGCCUGGCAUCCACUGUGCACCCCGUGCUGGCGGGUGGCUCAGGACGGAGCAGUUGCCUUGAGAUGCCCACUGCCUGCUGGCACAGCAGAUGGUCAAUUCUUCUGAGCAAUGGAGUCCCCACUGAGUCAUGGAGUCGGUGUGGCCUGGCAUCCACGGUGCACCCUGUGCUGGUGGAUGGCUCAGGACGCAGCAGUUUGUCAUGAGAGGUCUACCACUUGCUGGCAAAGAAGAUGGUCAAUUCUUCUGACCAACGGAGGCUGCCUUGAGUCCUUGAUUUGGUGUGGCCUGGCGUCUAUGGUGCACCCCAUGCUGGUGGAUGGCUCAGGAUGGGGCAGUUGCCGUGGAAGGCCCGCAGCCUGCUGCAAGGAAGAUGGUUGAUGCUUACGAGCAACAAAGGCUCCACGGAGUCGUGAAGUCGGUGUGGCCUGGCAUCCACGGUGCACCCUGUGCUGGUGGAUGGCUCAGGACGGUGCAGUUUUCAUGGGAGGUGUGGCACCUGCUGGAAGGAAGAUAGUUGAUUCUCCUGAGUAAUGAAGGCCACGCAGAGUCCUGGUUUCAGUUAUCCACAGUGCACCCCGUGCUGGUGGGUGGCUCAGGACGCCAGGUUCUGGUCACAAAUAUGUGAAGCCGUAGACUAGCGGAUUUCAUAAGUACCACAGGAGUCUAGAUGACAUGGCCUUCCUGACCUGUGAACCUGUCUUUCUGAAGCACACUCAUUUCUUCUGCACCUUCCCAGUGUCAUUGGCAUGGAAGGAAGGCCCUUGUCCAAGAAAGAUGGUCUUCAUCUUGUGUGAUCUUUGAGAUGCCAUAAGGUCCCUGGAUACACAUGGUGUGGGCUCCUUUGGAGGCUUUUGGAUUUCUCCUGAAUGUGGCGUUGGUAUGAAAGGAAGGCCAGUGACCACAAGGGACGAUCUUCAUCUUGGGAGAUUUUUGGAGAUGGUGAAGUGCCUGUAAACAUGUGUGUCAUGGUCUCCUUCAGGCUGGUGGACACCUCAGGACGGUGGUGUUGGCAUGGAAGGAGGGCCUGUGUCUGCGAGGGAUGAUCAUCCUCUCAUGUGAUCCUUGGAGAUGCCAGGAAGCCCCUUGACACAUGUGGCAUGGACUCCUUCAGAGGCUUUUGGAUCCUUCGUGAAUGUGGCAUGGGCAUGCAAAGACAGACAGAGGCUGCAGGGAUGAACUUCAUCUUGGGGGAAUCUCUGGAGAUGGCAGGGAACCCCUGGACACAUGUGGCAUGGGCUCCUUCGGGUGCCGGUGGAUCCCUUUAUAUGGUGGCCAUGAUGAAUUGGCCAGGCCCAUGUUGGUGAGGGACAAUCAUCAUCUCGUGCUAUUCUCAGAGAUGCCAGGAAGCUCCUGGACACACAUGGUGUAGGCUUCUUUGGAGGCUGUUGGAUCCCUCCUGAAUGUGAUGGUGUAAAAGGCAAACCUGUGUCAUGAGGGAUGAUCAUCGUCUUGUGUGGUCCUUGGAGAUGGCAGGAAGCCCUGGACAAUACACAGUGUUCGCUCCUUCAGAGGCUGUUGGAAUCCUCCUGGAUGUGGUGUGGGCAUGGAAGGAAGGCCAGUGGAGACAAUGGAUGAUCUUGCUCUUAGAAGAUCACUGGAGGUGGCAGGGAGUCCUAGGACACGUGCGGCGUGGGCCUCUUCAGGUGCUGGUGCUGUUGGCAUGAAAGGAAAGGAGGUAUCUUCGAGGGACAAUCUUCGCCUUGUGCGAUCCUCGGAGAUGCCACGAGGACUCUGGACACAUGUGGUGCGGGCUCCUUUGGAGGCUGUUGAAUCCCUUCUGAAUGUGUUGCGGGCAUAGAAGGAAGGCCAUGAAGGACAAUUUUGGUCUUGGGAGAUCCCUGGAAUUGAUAGGGAGCCCCUUGAUAUGUGUGGCAUGGGCUCCUUCAGGUGCUAGCGGAUUCCUUAGGAUGGUAGCACUGGCAUGGAAGGCAGGCCCGUGUUGGCGAGGGACAAUUGUUAUCUCAUGUGAGCCGCGGAGAUACCAGGAAGCCCCUGGACACAAUGGCAAAGACUCCCUCGGAAGUUGUUGGAUCCCUUCUGAAUGUGGCGUUGGCAUAAAAGGCGGGCUUGUAUCAUGAGGAAUGAUUGUCAUCUCGUAUGAUCCUUGGAGAUGGCAGGAAGCCCCUGGACACACAUGGUGUGGACUCCUUCAGAGGCUGUUGAAACCUUCCUUAAUGUGGUGUUGGCGUCAAGGCAGGCUCGUAUCUUGAGGAAUGAUUGUCACAUCGUAUGAUCCUUGGAGAUGGCAGGAAGCCUCUGGACACACAUGGUGUGGACUCCUUCAGAGGCUGUUGAAACCUUCCUUAAUGUGGUGUUGGCGUCAAGGCAGGCUUGUAUCAUGAGGAAUAAUUGUCAUCUCGUAUGAUCCUUGGAGAUGGCAGGAAGCCCCUGGACACACAUGGUGUGGACUCCUUCAGAGGCUGUUGAAGCCUUCCUUAAUGUAGCACUGGCAUGGAAGGCAGGCCCGUGUUGGCGAGGGACAAUUGUUAUCUCAUGUGAGCCGCGGAGAUACCAGGAAGCCCCUGGACACAAUGGCAAAGACUCCCUCGGAAGUUGUUGGAUCCCUUCUGAAUGUGGCGUUGGCAUAAAAGGCGGGCUUGUAUCAUGAGGAAUGAUUGUCAUCUCGUAUGAUCCUUGGAGAUGGCAGGAAGCCCCUGGACACACAUGGUGUGGACUCCUUCAGAGGCUGUUGAAACCUUCCUUAAUGUGGUGUUGGCGUCAAGGCAGGCUUGUAUCAUGAGGAAUAAUUGUCACCUCGUAUGAUCCUUGGAGAUGGCAGGAAGCCCCUGGACACACAUGGUGUGGACUCCUUCAGAGGCUUUUGAAACCUUCCUUAAUGUGAGGCCAGAGACAGGCGGACAGCAAAUGUAUCACAGCGGGCUGGAUGACAUGGCCCUUGGAACCUGUGCACAUGCCUGCCUUUCUGAUGCAUGUCCGUGUUUUCUCUGCACCUCCCCAGUGGUGUUCGUGUAAAAAGCAGGCUCAUGUUAGCAAGGAAUGAUUGUCAUCUCAUGUGAUCCUGCGAGAUGGCAGAAGUCUGGGGCCACAUGGAGUGUGGGCUCCUUCGGAGGCUGAUGGAACCCUCCUGAAUGAGUUGUGGCAAUGGAAGUAAGGCCAGUGGCUACGAGGGACAGUCUUCAUCUUGGAAGAUCCAUCGAGAUGGCAGGGAGCCCCUUGACAAGUGGAAUCUGGUCUCCUUUGGUGCUGCUGGUGGAUCCCACAGGUGGUCUGACAUGGAAGAAGGCCACAGGCUGCGAUGGAUGAUCUUUGUCUUGGGGGAUUCCUGGAGAUGGUGGGGAGCCCCUGAGCACGUGCAGCACAUGUGGCGUGGGCUUCUUCAGAAGCUGGUGGACCCCUCAGGAUGCUCGUCAAGGUUUUUCUAUGAGUUCUGUUAAAGAGUCAGAAAAUGGAGCCUAGAAGACAUACUUCAGUUUCCAGGAUGGUUGUGUUUUCCAGAGAGCCAUAGUUCAUUGUGGAACCAUCACAGAUUUCCAUAUGAAAGUUUUUUUUUUUAACCUCAAAAAGUGACAGAAUGGAGUGUAUCAUGGAAAAAUCUGACAUCAAAACCUCAAAAUGUGAUAUUGAUUGGGUGAGAUAGAAUUCCAUGAAAUUUCAUUGCCAAACCAGUGAAGUGCUAAUUUUGACAUUUGUACCAGCUGAUGUAGCUGUGAAGAAGCACAUCAAUACCACUUCUAAGGACAGCAUAGACCAAGAACUGGGUUUCAUAUGGAUGAAUUUAUUCUUCCUUUGAGGCAAGACAAGAAGGAAAGAAAGUAUUGGGACUAAUGCCAUCCUCAAGGGCCAGUGGGAACUCUAAUAUUGAUUGGGUGAGAUACAAUUCCAUGGAAUUUUACCACUGAACCAGUGAAGGGCUAAUUUUGUCAUUUGUACCAGUUAACUAAUUUGGGAGGAAACAGAACAACACACUCCUGAGAUUGGUUGUCACAGAAUUCCGUGGACUUUAACCAGUGAUGCGCUGAUUUUGUCAUUUGUACCAGCUAACUCAUCUGGGAGGCAACAAAACAAUAUUCUCCUGAGAAUGAAGUGGACCAAGAACUGGGCUUCAUACGGAUGAAUUUAUGUUUUUCUCCAUGUGGAGACGUGAAGGAAAAGUAUAGGAAAUAAUUCUGCCUCCCACCCACAAGUCCCCAUGGGAAUUUCUCACAUGUUAAAAAGCAUUUUGUCCUGAAAAUAACAACAUUUUUUCUUAGGGAAUCAGGACACUCCAAUGACGGUGAGACUCUGGCUAUGCCAGUCAGCCAUGGGCUGGUCAUUGACUGUGAUGCUGGUCUCCAUGAUUGAAUAGUGUGGGUCAUUGGUGACAGAUAGCUGUGUGCUCAGUGUCUGCCACGUAUCUCAGGUUCAAAGUCCCUUUUAUAAAUGUGACUGGAUCAUGAUGACUUAAAAAUGGAUCUCGGAAUCUGAGCAAAACGAGUGACCAAACCACUUCUGUGCACUGAGGUCCAGCACAGGGACCAUGCCAGGCAAACACAUGGAGAGAGUUCAGUUUGGUCAGCAGCUGGUACCAAAAUGGCCCAUGGUAUUGGAAAACAAACCCACUCACAUAGGUUACAGCACAUGAAUUGUACAGAGGUUAAUGUGGACGAAGAACUAGAUUUCAUGUAAAAGAGUUUAUUCCUUCUACUUGAGGUGUGACUUGAAGGAAAGUAAUGGAAAUAAUUCUGCCCUCCCAUUCUCAAGGGCCGGGGGAAUUCUAAUCUUGAACGGAAGUGAUUUUGGAAUUGCAUGGAAUUCUCACUGCCAUCCCAAAGAAAUGCUGAUCUUGUCACUCUCACCUGUUCCGUUGCCUGGGGCAGAACAAAAGGAUGUACUUCAAAGAGCGACAUGAACCAAGAACUGGGUUUCAUAUGAAAUAUUUUAUUCUGUCCUCUUGAGAUGUGACAUGAAGAAAAGUUUUGAGAAUAUUUCUAUCACCUCAUCUUCAAGAAUCAGUAGGAAUUCUCCCAUGGUUCCAUGUGAUACUAGAGUUGCGUGGAUUUUUAAUCUUUACACCAAUGAAGAUCAGAGGUUAACAGUGCCCUUUUUUUAGAAGUUUGUAUUUGUCACUGAUAACUGUAAUAACUGAUCUUGUUGAAAAGCGUGAGAAAUGAAGAUCUGAUAUGUCACUUUUACCAGCUUCCUCAACUGAGAAAGAAUACAAUGAAACAUGCUGAGAAUUUUUGUGCUUUCUCAGUCUUGCUGAUGAUCUUUCUGUGGGCAUGAAGCAUGGAGAGUGCCAGAGAGGCUGAUCCUCAACAGUGUGACAGCGGAAAGUUGGGUGUGACCGAGAGGUCAACAAAGACAAGGCACCUAGCCUCACAUGAAACUUCAUUGCUUUCCCUUGAGAUGUGACAUGACAGAAAAUGUCAGAAAUGAUUUUUCCAUCCCAUCCUCAGGGACCAGUGGGAAUUAAUUUUACCAUUACACCUUCAAGGGCCAGAUCGGAAGUGAUAUUGGUGGAAGACAACACUUUGCCGCUUGCAAUUCUCACCUCCACACCAAAGAAGGACUGUUUUUGUCAUUUGCACCAGCUGCUUUCUCCGGGAAAGAUCAAAACGAUGCACUCCAAGGGCAUGCCAUGUACCCCUCAGGACCUGAAGCAAGAAAAUGAAUUAAAGAAAACUCCAGAGAAUGAGCUGACAACUUACUCCCUGGUCAGUGGCUCUCCAUGCCUACCUGUGGUUUCUUGGACACCCUUGCAGAAGAUGACUUCCUGGGAACUCUUCUGAGAGUGAAUGUUAUCAGCAAAUUCCCGAAACAACACCCCUUAGACAAAAAGCCUCCUCACCUAUGCAUUGCCUAGGCCACCCACUAAAGGUGAUGGCCACAAAGAGGUGGAUUUGUUGAGUUGGUGCCAUUCCUUCUACUGCCAGCUUCACCAAAACAAUGAUUCAGUCUUCCUUAUGCAUGGGGACUCUUCUCUUUCCUGUGUUGCAGUGGAUACCUCCUGCAGAUAAGAAAUGCUUAACUGAGAAAUGCUCAUGUUGGGAUAUCAUCGAUGAGACUUUAAUUGGGGCAUGGUGACUGUUUCCCUUGCUGCCACUUGACUCAAUCCCAGGAGCCUCAGUAGAGGAUAAAAUAUUACACAAGAUGCUCAAAAUGGUGGAAUUGCUCAGUGCUCCCAUAAAUAUACAUUUAUAAUUUUCAUUUGCCGCAUGGUAAACUGAAAAAUACAGAAUAUAUUAAAAAGAAACUCUGCAUGAUUUUUUUCAAAAAUUCAAAGCAUAUUUAAAUAAUAUAUAAAUUAAAUGCCCUCCUCUCUUCCAAUUCUGUCCCUAUAGUUUUCCUCUAUUAAGUGAACUACAUGCAUUCUUUUAGUGGAUAGAUGCACACAAAUACACAAGCCAUUUUGGGGAAGGAUCCAGGAGUGUGGCCAUAUUGUAACACAUUUUUCUGCAAAUUACCUCUUUCAUUUAACAGGCCUCAUUCAAUGGCCUUUUUCUUUUUCAGUAAUACAUACACAUCUGUGUCAUUUGUUGAAUGACGACAUGAAUGUUUUGUAGAAGAAAUAUAAUUAAAUGUUUUAAGCAUUUCUCACUCAUAGAUAUUUAUGUUAGCACCAAAUUUCUGUGCAAUGAACCUCCCUAUAUAUCAAUAAUUUUGCAUUUGUCUAUAAUAUCAUAAUAAAUUACUUAUCAGUUGAAUUACUGGGAUUAAGUAUGUGCACACUUCAUAUUUUGAAAAUUAUUGCAAGUUUGCCUUCAAAAAUGUGGUUAACAACUUUAUCCUCCAAUGGCAAUGAAUGAGAUUGCCAGCUUUCCUACAACCUCACAGACAAUGGAUUUUAUAAAUAUUUAAAAUUUUUGCCAAUGUGAUCACCCAAACUAUUGUCUUAAAUUGUAUUUCUUUUGUUUUUGAGUUUGGUCAUUUUUUCAUGUUUGUUAGCCAUCUGUAUUUUUUAAUUUCUUCUUUAUGUCCAAUUUUGUGGGUGGGAGGAGGAUUUAGUCUCUUCCUGAUUUCGAAGAGCUCAUUUACUAUUUCGGGAAAUAAGAUUUGGAUUGUCAACCAUUACAGCUCUUUUUUACAUACUUUUUAACUUUGUUUUUGUUAUAAGAAUGUGUAUGAUUGUUAUAUGUCCAAGUAUAACCAUGUUCGCUUUUAUGGCUUCUGAGUUUCAUGUCAUUUUUGGAAAGAUAUAUAUACUGAGUCCAUAAAACCCUUCACCUAUGUUAAAUUCUAAUUCUUUUGUGUUUUUUUAAUUCAAAUUCUUAAAUCAUGAGAAAUUUUUUUGUUUUGAAAUCUUAAAGUUGCCAAGUUACUUGCCAUUACUUGCGAUUAUUUGCCAAUAAUUGCCCAUUUAUCUGUACUGCCAUCUUGCGCAUAUGCUGUACUCUCAUCUGUGACUGGCUCCAUUUUUGUUCUGUGGAUUUGUGUGUCUCUUCUUCUGCCUCCUGUCUCAUGUGUCUUCUCGUUGGAAGAAAUUACAGUUUAGACUGCAAUUUCAUCAACUUUAAUAAAUCAAUUGAGGGGAGAAUGGUUUUUAAAAAUAUUAAGUUAAGUCUUCGUAUCCAAGGACAAGGUAUGUCUUUUCGUAUUCAAUAAUUUUAAUUACUGUUAAUAUUUUCACUCUGGUGAUGGGAGUUUUUCUUUUAAUUUGCUUUCUUGUUCAUUUUUUGUAUCUAGUUUUUGUUUUGUUUUGUUUUGUUUUGGGGGUAAGUGGUCACCUUACUGUUUCUUGUUGCUUUUCAGAUUUUUUCAAAGUAUAGACUAAAUCCUUUGCAAAUAUUUAAAGUUUUUAUUUCCCCCCUUCAUAUUGAUCCUGAUUUUAGUUAUGUUGACAAAGUCCACAGACUGUUACUAUCAGAACACUUGAACAGUUAUGGAAAUAUUACCCACCCUUGAUUUAAUCAGGGUUUAAUGGUAUGCUUCUUUGGUUUGACUGGCACAUUGUUGCUGGUCAUUUUCUCCCAAAGACCACCAGAAAGAGCUAUGAUCAAGCAAAGCUGAGUUUGUUAAACUUACCUGCAGCAAGGGAAAACACCACCUUGAUAGGAUUUAAUAAUGUUUCAAAAUCAAGAAAGGCUUUGGGGUCUGGGCAGGGAACUAAUUAGAAAUGGGCAAAAUUUGUCAUGCAAUACUUUAAGAUUGGUGGGAAAGUGAGAUGAGGUUCUUAAUGUGAGGAUUGAUGGUCAAAUCAUUUUCUAGGUGAGCUGUUUGCCUGUAGAAAUAUGUUAUCAAUGAUAGAAGAACUAUUUGCCUAGAUAAGCAAACUGAAUUUAUUUACUGGUUUACAGUUUUAUCUUGCUGGGCAGGACUCUGCUGGGGGUGGUAUCAGGUCUUAUUCCCAAUAGGUAAGUUAUUUUGAUGUGGGUGGUCUUAAUCAUCAAUGUGUGAAAUGCUGAUUUUUAAGUGCGAAAUACUUUGUCUACCAUGUUAGGAAAGUCUCCCACCUUUUAUAUUUUGUAAGGAAUUUUAAUCAAAACCAGGUGGGUAGAUAUAAUCAAAUUUUUUUUGCAGAAUCUGUGUUACUGUUCUUUUUAAAGACUUUUAUCACUAUGAAUUAAUUUACUGUUAUUGCAACUUCCUUUUAUUCCUUGAAUGAACAGACCCUACUGGUUUUAAAAAUGUUUUAUUCUUUUGAUUUACUACUUAAUCGUGGGUAUUUUAAUUUGAUUUGGAAUUUUUACAAGUCUACAACUAAGUGAAAUUGAUCUGUGAUUUUUCUUUUUUGUGCUCUUUUUGUCGUGUUUUGAUAUCAGAUACUCUGGUUGUGUUAAUCGUUUUGAGGAUUUUCUUAUACUGUGUUCUAGAGUGGGUGGAAAAGCUCUCACCUCACUAUCAGUGUUGAAAUCAUCUGGACUCCCCUUUGUUUUUGGUGGUUUGGAGUUAGAAGAGAGGCUAGAAGUUUUUUUUUUCUUUUCCUUUUUUUGUAUGGUUAUUGCUUGUUCUUUGUUUUGUGUCUUAAAUUUAACCUGUGUUAUCUUAGCAAAUCACAGUUCAUACAGAUUUUCAAACACAUUUGCAUUAAGUUAUACAGUGUUCUUUCAUCAUUCUAUUACAUUUCUCUUGUUUCAAUUAUGUAUUCAUUUUCAUUCCAGUUAUAGUUAUUUCUGCCAUGCCUUUGUUAAUGAAUAAGUUUAACUAGUGGAUGUUUAGCAUCACUAGCCUUCCCCUUCCCUCUCCCUCAAUCAGGUCUUUGGUAUAAUUUAUCAGGUAUUUUUUAAGGUUCUAAUUUACUUGUAUAUAUUGGUUCUGUAUUCUUUUAUUUCUUUUCCUAAUAAAUUCUUAAACAUGUGUAAUA